GACGAACGCUGGCGGCGUGCUUAACACAUGCAAGUCGAACGGAAAGGCCCUGCUUUUGUGGGGUGCUCGAGUGGCGAACGGGUGAGUAACAAGUGAGUAACAUGCCCUUGACUUUGGGAUAACUUCAGGAAACUGGGGAUAAUAACGGAUAGGAGCUCCUGCUGCAUGGUGGGGGGUGGAAAGUUACGGCGGUUGGGGAUGGACUCGCGGCUUAGCAGCUCGUUGGUGGGGUAGUGGCAUACAAAGGCUUGGACGGGUAGACGGCCUGAGAGGGUAACCGGCCUCCUUGGUCCUGAGAGACGGCCCAGUCUCCUACAUGGGGCAACAGUCGGGAGUAUUGUCCAAUGGUCGGGAGCCUGUUGCAACGACCCCGCGUUCGUAAUGCCCGCCUUCUGGUUAUGAACCGCUUUCGCCUAAGACGAUGCGUGGAUGACGGUAAUGGAUGAAUAAGCACCGGCUAACUACGUG
rnacentral:rRNA from 1 species